GGGAUAAUAGUUAUAGAUAUAACAUUUGAUUUGCAUUCAAAAGAUGUUGAGGAAUCAACUUAUCUUA
rnacentral:tRNA from 1 species